ensembl:lncRNA
CUUGGAUGUACACAAAUAGCUAACUUUAAUAAUAUGCAUGUCAAUCUGUCCUGGCUGAAAGUGGAGGAGAGAUUGACUUGAUCACUACUUGUAUUUGUGAGAGGUAUUGACAUGUUGAAUGUACCAAACUCUCUGUUUAAACUGCUGGCACACAGAUCAGACACCCCUGCAUACCCCCCAAGACAUGCCACCAGAGGUCUGUUUAAACUACUGGCGCACAGCUAAGACACCCAUGCAUACCCCACAAGACAUGCCACCAGAGGUCUGUUUAAACUACUGGCGCACAGCUAAGACACCCAUGCAUACCCCACAAGACAUGCCACCAGAGGUCUGUUUAAACUACUGGCGCACAGCUAA